rnacentral:rRNA from 1 species
UACGAAGGGGGCUAGCGUUGCUCGGAAUUACUGGGCGUAAAGCGCACGUAGGCGGCUUUCUAAGUCGGGGGUGAAAUCCUGGAGCUCAACUCCAGAACUGCCUUCGAUACUGGAGAGCUCGAGUCCGGGAGAGGUGAGUGGAACUGCGAGUGUAGAGGUGAAAUUCGUAGAUAUUCGGAAGAACACCAGUGGCGAAGGCGGCUCACUGGCCCGGGUACUGA